CAACCCCAACUCAUAUGGGACUACCCCCUGAAUUUAAGCUUAUUAUUUAGGGGAGGAAAAGAAACUAAAAAGGAUUUUUCUUAGAACGGGCAACGAAAAAAAAUCCUUUCACCCCAAAUUCCCUUUUUCUUUUGGGAAAUGGGAAGAGCCGUGGUUGGGGGGGCCCAAUUUUUUUUUAUGAAAAAUUAAACAUUUAAAUUCCCUUUUUAAAAAG
rnacentral:ncRNA from 1 species